rnacentral:lncRNA from 1 species
GUCUCGCUCUGUCGUCCAGGGUGGAGUGCAGUGGCGCAAUCUUGGCUCACUGCAACCUCCGCCUCCCGGGCUCAAGCCAUUCUCCUGCCUCAGUCUCCCGAGGAGCUGGGACUACAGGUGCACACCACCAAGCCUGGCUGAUUUUUGCAUUUUUAGUAGGGACAGUAUUUCACCAUGUUGGUCAGACUGGUCUUGAACUCCUGGCCUCAAGCGAUCUGCCCGCCUCGGCCUCCCUAAGUUUUCGGAUCACAGGCGUGAGCCACCACGCCCAGCCGGAUUGCAAUUUUAAAUAGCAUAAUCAGAGAGGCUUAAUGGAAGAGGUAAUAUUUGAGGAAAGACCUGAAGAAGGUAAGGGAGUAGGCACUGAAGAUAUUGGGGGAACAGUGCUCCCCGAGACAUCUGGGCAGCCAGGCACAGGGACCACAAGCAGAAAAGGGUCCUGUGAGGGUUUCGUGUUUUCUUUACAAUUUGUCAAUGUGAACACCAUGCUCACACCAAAGAACAGCAAGUUUCCUACCUGGCUUCUCUGCCUUCCUCCUUCCUUCCCUCCCUUCCUCCCUCCUUCCUUCCUUUCUUCCUUUCUUCCUUCCGUUCUCCCUUUCUUCCCAAUAUGCCCCACUUCAAUGGAUGAGUUUUCCAGCUCCCUCGGCUGCUUUCUGCAUUGCACAUGACAAGUAUCCACUAAAUAUUCAUUCAUUAGAAACAGCCAGACGAUGCUGAGCCUCUGUAGCUCUCUAGCAUCUACCAUAGCACAGAUCUCAGGAAGACCCACAAGAUACAUUUGUCAACAAGUCGAUGGCCUCCUAUGUGGCCCUGUGCUGUGUGCUGAGGCUACAGGAAGGAACAAAGCCUCCUAUCUGGGGGCCCACUUCUGCAGUUAAGUUCAUCUGGUGUCCUUUGUAAUACUGCAAAGAGAACUUCUUACGCUGUAGCUGAAUGAGAGAAAUAUCCCAUUCCAAACCUCUGAUGGAAACUGGCCAAGUCAGCGUGUGAGAGGAAGAAGGAAGAAAAAGUUUGCCUACCCUUGCACCGGAAGCAGGAGGGAAAGAGAUGGGCUUGUUGGAAACCAGGAAAGGAGAAAUUGACAGAGCUGCAGGGAGCAAUCCCUUUCCACCUUCACCCAGGACUGAGAUCAUGUCAUACAAAAGCCCUGUGUUGUUCAGAGGACCAGAGGGGCUGGAGUGGAGUGAAGUGGUGUGAUCUCGGCUUACUGCAACCUCUGCCUCCCAGGUUCAAGCGAUUCUCCUGCCUCAGCCUCCUGAGUAGCUGGGAUCACAGACGCCUGCCAUCAUGCCUGGCUAAUUUUUGUAUUUUUAGUAGAGAUGGGGUUUCGCCAUGUUGGUCAGGCUGGUCUCGAACUCCUGACCUCAAGUGAUCCACCUGCCUCGGCCUCCCAAAGUGCUGGAAUUACAGGCAUGAACCACUGCACCUGGCCUCUAUUACCUUUAAAAGUGCUCCUUGAAGAGAAAAUCCACUCUGCCGUUUCAAGCUUGACUUCCCUCCCCAGUCUUAGAGACUGAUCACUGGGGCAGAGUGACAUUUUCCCACAAUGCUGGCUCAUUAUUUUCCUCCUGGAAUUGCAAAUCCAAGGGACAAGUGGUACAGCCUGCACCCAUCCAGAAGGGGAGGGAAUCCCACCAGAGGUGCCCUGAAACAAAGAAAACAAGUAACUUCAAAACCACAUCCUAAAAUCUGGACCUGUGACAGGACAGAUGGAACUCUGGAUUGUUUGAUUCUAUCAGCAGAACAGAGGAAGGAAAUGUUUUAAAACGAGAUUAUGUUAUUUUCCCCAGUUAUUAUGAAGCCUUCCUGAAAUGAACUUUAAAUAUCGGCCACCACUUUCAUGAGGCUGAAUGGGAUUCAGCAAUUAGGAGCGUUGCAGGGAAGUGUGGCAGGGCAGAGGUGGGACAAAUUGCAGAUCCCUGUGGGGUCCCUUGGUUAGGUGACAAUUAGUCUAUAAAACACAGCUGUGUGUGUUAGGGAGGGAGUGGUGUCUUUAAAAAGCUCUGUGCCCAAUAGGAACAUUAAUUAAAGGGUCUUUUUUCAAAGGACAUUAAUAAUAAUGAAUAAAAAGCCUUCUGCGACUUUUGCCCUCAAUGAGAAAAUGACUGACAACUACGUAUCGUAUAGAGAAGAAAAAAUAUCCUAGAAGUUAUGAAAAUUUCCCCAAAAUGAAAUCAUACAAUAAUCCUUUAUAAUGCUGGGCUUCCUAGACAGAAUUUUCCAAAGGAAGCUGUCUAUAUCAUCCAGCCCCAAGCCCUGCUGAAUAAUACACGAUAGCUGUGUCAUUAGUGUCCUCUAGCCAAAUAACUGUCCAGGCAGGAUGACAUGGAUGUGGUCGCUUGUCCCCUCUGCGUGGAUGUCCUCCCACACAUGCCUCUCAAUGCCAGGGUUCCUCAAGACCCUCUGAGAGUCAGCUCCUGUAUCCAACUGCUUACCUGAUAUUGCCUCCAAGAAGCCUUAAAACACCUGAAAUGUAAAGGUCUUCCCCAGGAUCCUCCCGGUCUUCACAUCCCUAUAAAUGGCGUCAACACCCAUCCACUCAUGAAGCCAGAACUUAGGAUUCAUCCCCAAUUCUUCCCUCUCCCCCGACAUCCAAUUCAUCAGCAGAUUCCGGGGCUUCGCUCUCCCAGUGAUCUCUCCCAUCUGAGGCUUUCCCUCCAGUGGUUUAUUGCUUCUAUCGUGGUCUAGGUAAGCAUCAUCUAGACUUGCCCUGGACUAGUGCAAAAGUCUCCUGAGUCUUCUCUCUUCAUCUAUUCUCGGGGGCCACAGCCAGACCAUUCUCUACAGAGUUAAAAAGAGCGACUUCUGAAGGAGUGAACAGACCCGCAUCAUUGCCCUGCUUAAGAUCCUUCAGCGACUUCCCAUAGCAUUUAGAACACAAUGCAAACUUUUCUGUAGCCUUGCAACCCCUGCUUGAAUUGGUCUGGCUAUUUCUCUAGCUUCUUCUCAACCCCUCUUUCCUCACCUGGUAUUCCAGCAGCUUCAGGGUUUCACAGUCUUCAGACACUCUUGUGCCUUCCCACUUCUAAGCCUCUUGUGUUUUCGGUUCCCUGUGCCAGGAAAGUUCACCCACUGCUCCCCAACUUCAGAGACCACCAUUUUGGAUACAUAGCAUUGGCCUGACAUUCUUUUUCUUUUAACUGUCAGACAUUAGGGCUGACCUAACUGUCACUACUGGAGUUCAAUAUGGCCCCCAAAAGAGCACCCUGCCGCUGUAAGUUCUGAGCCCAUUGAGAAAUGAGACAAAGAAUCUAGGCAGAUGGAGACCAAAUGCAUCAGCUCUAUUUCUUAUAAAAUUGAUAUUGGAGAAUGUGGCAUAUAAUACCUGCAAACAAGUGGUUUCCUAAUACCAACCCCAGAUUGGAUUUACCCACCCAGUCGGAGGCCAUGCAGGGUCUGGGCAGACCCCCGAUGUAGGGGGGUCUCAGGGCCUUAGUGCAGCCCUCCUGGCACCCCCAGCUUCCUUGUAUGAUUGUGCAUGUUUGUCCCAUCAGUCCGUGAACUUCCCAAAGCAGACACCAGGCAGAAUAAAGAAUACCGGGGAAGGCUGGGCAUGGUGGCUCAUGCCUA